GUGGCACGUUGGGGAGCACAGGUGGUGCAUCGGCCAGUCGACCCAUGGCAGCUGGGUUUGCCCUGUGACUUGUCAGCGAGCCAUCGGCACUUGCCAUGGCCUCAAGGCGCACCUAGCCUCAAGGCGCACCUAGCCUGGCAGAAGCGCCCUGGUGACGUCACCACAACUUCGUGGUGAACGGUGGCAUUUAAGUCCGGGGGGGCGUCACCCGACCCUGACGUUUCCUGACCCAAUUUGACCUCGACCUUACGAGACUCAAUGUUACGGCCAUGGACCGUGGAGUGAAAACCACUGCAAGGCUGCCCUCCUUCAGCGGGAGAAGGCAAACGGCAACACUAGACGGGGACUUUCUGCUGAAGCCCUCUCUGACCUCGGCACUGGUAUCUAGCUGCUGCUGUCAUCACACGUGAUAGAAUCUCUAUCUGACCCCACUUGAGCCAAUUGGACCUGACCCUGAUGUCAUUUCACCUCACCUUGUUGUCUCACCUGACCCCGAUCUCAUUUGACCUCACCAUGUUGCCUCACUUGACCCCGAUGCCAUUUGACCUCACCUUGCCUCACCUGACCCCGAUCUCAUUUGACCUCACCUUGUUGCCUCACCUGACCCCGAUCUCAUUUGACCUCACCUUGUUGCCUCACCUGACCCCGAUCUCAUUUGACCUCACCGUGUUGCCUCACCUGACCCCUAUCUCAUUUGACCUAACCUUGUUGCCUCACCUGACCCGGAUGUCAUUUGACCUCACCUUGUUGCCUCACCUGACCCCGAUCUCAUUUGACCUCACCUUGUUGCCUCACCUGACCCCGAUCUCACUUGACCUCACCUUGUUGCCUCACCUGACCCCGAUAUCAUUUGACCUCACCUUGUUGCCUCACCUGACCCGGAUGUCAAUUGACCUCACCUUGUUGCCUUGACCCCGAUCUCAUUUGACCUCACCUUGUUGCCUCACCUGACCCCGAUCUCACUUGACCUCACCUUGUUGCCUCACCUGACCCCGAUAUCAUUUGACCUCACCUUGUUGCCUCACCUGACCCGGAUGUCAAUUGACCUCACCUUGUUGCCUUGACCCCGAUCUCAUUUGACCUCACCUUGUUGCCUCACCUGACCCCGAUCUCAUUUGACCUCACCGUGUUGCCUCACCUGACCCCUAUCUCAUUUGACCUCACCUUGUUGCCUCACCUGACCCCGAUCUCAUUUGACCUCACCUUGUUGCCUCACCUGACCCCGAUCUCAUUUGACCUCGCCUUGUUGCCUCACCUGACCCCGAUCUCAUUUGACCUCACCGUGUUGCCUCACCUGACCCCGAGCCCCUCCCGUGACGUCGACACGUCCGUCGUGCGUAGCGACGUUCCUCGGUCCCACAGUGCGUGAUGACGUCAUCGCAAAGCGUGCGUGGCCGCGUGGCGUCGCGCGCUACGGUGCCCGGCGGCGGCCAAAUUGAAGCCAGGCGAAACGCGAUUCGUAAAUAAACAGCGGCAGGGCCGAGUGACGGCUGAUUCAACUUUUUCAACAGCGACGUCAACAACAACAACUGACACAGCAGCAGACACACAUGAUACCACCACAACAGUCACAUCAACAGUCAUGAACCAGCAUUGACACAUCAGCAUCAGGUAUCAACAGAGCAGCAGCAGCAGCAUCAUCAUCGCCGCCAUCGGUGCCGAUGUCCCGCGGCCCAGACUCGGUUGAACGGCGUCUCGCCGAGUACAGAAGAAGGAAACGCGACCCGGGCACCAUGGGGAGCCCCGCGCAGCGCGAGGGACCAGCGGGAGGUCCCCCCCACGCUGCUGCUGCUGCUCCUGCAGGAGCGGGACACAACUCCUGGCUCCGCCGCCUUCUCCCGCCCUGGGGGCACGGCACGCCGCAGAGAGCGGAGACCCCGCGCGGUGAGAAGGAUUUACCGCCUGUCUCUCACCGCAGGAGCAGCCGCAAGGUGGGGAUCCCUUGCGAGGAGAAGGGGUUCCUGCCGACGGCGCCGCUGGUGGUGAAGUUGGUGGUGAUGGAGUGGGGCGCGGAGCCUCGCCUCGCUGGGCCGCUUGGCUCCGCGUCUCCAUUUGGCUCCUGCUCCUCGGCCUCUUCCUCCACCUGCAGCUGCUGACGCCGUUCCUGCUCGUGUCCGUUCUCAUCUUCCUCCCGCUCGCCUCCUCCCGCAGGGCACGUGGCACCCUAAGUGCAUACUCGGUGUUCAACCCCGGCUGCCGCCCCCUCCUCGGGGCCAUCACCACGGAGCAGCUCGAGAGGGAGAUGGGCUACGGAGCCCUGUGAUGCCACCACCACCACCACCCACACAGCUCGCCGGGAUGAAUCGGGGGGUCUGCAGUCACCAGGCACCGUCGGGGAGGAGAUGGAGCCACGUGGAUCGUGGCCGUUGGAUCGGAUCGCACAGAACUCUACAUACAAAGAUGUAUGUAGAGUUCUAGCAUUUGACAGACUGUUGGGGCAAAGUGCGGAUGGGCGAGUAGCACUUUAUGAAGGGCUGGGACGGCGGCGGCACACUAGGGGGGUAGUGUGAGGGGGGUAGUGUGUGCGUACCACCACGCCCGGUCGCCUUUGUCUUCUUCAUACGCACACAAUCGGUUUACUUGUAAGGGCAGGGGUGCAGUAGGGACACUUGUGCACACAACACUCUUUUGCGUGCGCACACACAUGCGUGAAUAUGCAAGUGCGCGUGGAGAUGGUGAUGUCACCGUCUCUCUGUAAAUAAACGCUCGCUUGUCAGC